rnacentral:misc_RNA from 1 species
UACACUCUAUAUAUGAUGGCAAUGGGAAAUUUAAGCAGAUCAGCCCAACCUGCUUCCAGUAUAAGGUACAAGCUUCACUCUAUAUAUGAUGGCGAUGGGAAAUUUAAGCAGAUCAGCCCAACCUGCUUCCAGUAUAAGUAUGGUGAGGACGGUGAGCAUCAGUCGUUCCUGGUGGAGAUAUCCUGGGGAGACAGCUACCCAGAAGUGGCCCCCACAGUCAACCUUGACCUCUUCUACAAUAAACACAUACUUGAUGCUGUGAAGGAGAAAGUACGAAGUGGGAUCCUGGAGGAGGUGGAAAAUCUCUUGAGUUCCCCAAUGACGUUCUCACUGUUUGAGUGGGUGAAGGACAACCUAACUUCUCUUCUUGAAGAACAGCCCCAGUCUGCUCCAGUCAGCCAGGCUGAAUGCAAGACUGAUACAGUGAUAGAAGAGGAUAGUUCCCCCGAGAAGAAGAAAGAGAAGAAAGAACAGAUGACAAAAGCCCAGAAGAGGAGGUACUCCGACAAGUAUGGCUCAAACACGGACCGUCCUAGGGGCUGGGACUGGGUGGACGUAGUGAAGCAUCUCAGUCAAACUGGGAGUCAGCAACCGAAGGCUGAUUCAUGACCUUAAGGGGCUUAGUACAGGCCCUCCUGGGGCAGGGUGGGUAAACAGGCACCCAGUUGGAUAUGGGUUAACACAGGCACUCCUGGGGCAGGAUGGGUAAACAGGCACCCAGUUGGAUAUGGGUUAACACAGGCCCUCCUGGGGCAGGGUGGGUAAACAGGCACCCAGUUGGAUAUGGGUUAACACAGGCCCUCCUGGGGCAGGGUGGGUAAACAGUUACUCUGUUGGAUAUGGGUUAACACAGGCACUCCUGGGGCAGGGUGGGUAAACAGGCACCCAGUUGGAUAUGGGUUAACACAGGCACUCCUGGGGCAGGGUGGGUAAACAGGCACCCAGUUGGAUAUGGGUUAACACAGGCACUCCUGGGGCAGGGUGGGUAAACAGGCACCCAGUUGGAUAUGGGUUAACACUGACACUCCUGGGGCAGGGUGGGUAAACAGGCACCCAGUUGGAUAUGGUGCUUGGGUCAAGGUCAAGGUCCCCUACAGUUGACCUACAUUUGGGCAGUUUCAACGUCUUCUUUUGACUAACAUGCAUUCGCUGAGGAUCGAAAUAUUUCAAAAGUUGACAUACAUUCACAGUUUACAGUAUGAACACUUAGAAAUGUUGACAUUGUCAUCAUAAAUUUUGAUAAUCCAACAAGGGGACAGACAACAAGGGUUCAGACAACAAGGGGACAGACAACAAGGGGAUGUCAGGAUAUUAACUGUUUCGGCAACAUUAUCUGGUAUGAUCAAUUUAGAUUUGAGUGAAAGUAAAUCCGUCAUUACUGACAGGAAUUGUUGCAUAUGGUAACAGCAGGA